UGCAUGUAGUCCCUGUCUGAAGUCUGUAUGAGGCAUAUCUGAGGCACAGAGAGGUUAAGUUGGGGACUGAAGUGUGGCUCCAGAAUCUAAGUUUCUAACUGCCAUGCUAUGACUGACCCCACUGGACUCAUGACUCAUGGACUCAGCUGGUCCUGUGGCCCUACCCAGAAGUGGACUCAGCACACGAGGACCAUUUCCCACACUCCUGUGAUUUCAUCCCCAAUUAUUCAGCAGUACCCUUUCCAUAGCCCCUUGCCCACCAAGUUGUCCAUAAAAACCCUAGCCUCUGAGCUUUUGGGGAGAUGGAGUUGAGUAAUAACUCCAUCUACUGCAUGGCUGGCCUUGUGUCAAUUAAACUUUUUUCUUUACUGCAAUAACAUGGUCUCAGUGAACUGAUUUUGUUCAUGCAGGAGGCAGGAAAAGCCCCUUGGGUGAUUACACAGUGGUUCUCAAAGUAUGGACCUCCAACCAGCAGCAUCAGCAGCAUCUGGAUACUUGCUAGAAAUGGAAAUUCUCUGGCCCUAUUCCAGGCCUUCCAAGUUGGAAACUUUGUGAUGGGGCCCAGCACUCUGUGUUUUAACAAGCCCUCUAGCCUUAAGGAAAACAACUCUGAGGACUUUUGUCACGGACUUGAAAUUCUCAUCUGUGCUUGGACAAGACUCUGAAACAUACCAACUGUGUAUUUUCCUGCCUUUGGUAAAUCUGGAGCUAUUAACUGAUUCUAAAGAACAUUUGACUUAAAAAGACUAUGGAAAGCCCAAAGAAUAAAGGGACACUUGUCACUGGAUUGAAGGCAUAUUCUAAUUUAGGACAAUGUCUUGAGAUCUUUAACUUAACUACAUUUGCAAAGACCCAAUUUCCAAGUAACUGGA